AUGUGGGCACCUGAUAUCUAUGAGGGUUCACCCACCCCGGUGACAGCAUUCCUUUCUAUUGCGCCUAAAAUCUCUAUUUCUGCAAAUAUGUCACGUGUUUCUAUUGUUGCUUCCUAUGGGGGUACAUUACAACAAAUCUUCUUUUUCUGCAGCAUUGCUUCUAUGAUCUUAGAAGCACUGGCCUCCAUGGCCCAAACGAAAGUCAAAAGACCUCUAGCUCAUAGUUCGAUUGGACAUGUAGGUUAUAUUCGUACUGGUUUCUCAUGUGGAACCAUAGAAGGAAUUCAAUCACUACUAAUUGGUAUAUUUAUUUAUGCAUCAAUGAUGAUAGAUGCAUUCGCCAUAGUUCCAGCAUUACGGCAAACCCGUGUCAAAUAUAUAGCGGAUUUGGGCGCUCUAGCCAAAACGAAUCCUAUUUCGGCUAUGACCUUCUCCAUCACAAUGUUCUCAUACGCAGGAAUACCCCCGUUAGCCGGCUUUUGUAGCAAAUUCUAUUUUUUCUUCGCCGCUUUGGGUUGUGGGGCUUACUUCCUAGCCCCAGUGGGAGUAGUGACUAGCGUUAUAGGUCGUUGGGCGGCCGGAAGGUUGCCAUGA
rnacentral:rRNA from 1 species